rnacentral:piRNA from 1 species
AGACAAACUAUGUUCAUUCCUGC